UACGUAGGGUGCAAGCGUUGUCCGGAAUUAUUGGGCGUAAAGAGCUCGUAGGCGGUUUGUCGCGUCUGCUGUGAAAACUGGAGGCUCAACCUCCAGCCUGCAGUGGGUACGGGCAGACUAGAGUGCGGUAGGGGAGAUUGGAAUUCCUGGUGUAGCGGUGGAAUGCGCAGAUAUCAGGAGGAACACCAAUGGCGAAGGCAGAUCUCUGGGCCGUAACUGACGCUGAGGAGCGAAGCAUGGGAGCGAACAGG
rnacentral:rRNA from 1 species